rfam:Neonectria ditissima strain R09/05 contig_57, whole genome shotgun sequence.
ACAUACGACCAUAGCUCUUAGACAAUACGGGAUCCCGUCCGCUCUCCCCUAGUCAAACUGAGAAGCGGCAAAUUAGUACUCGGGUCGGUGACGACCGGGGAAUCCUUGCUGUUGUAUGUU